UACGUAGGGGGCAAGCGUUGUCCGGAUUCAUUGGGCGUAAAGAGCGUGUAGGCGGCCAGGGAGGUCGGGUGUGAAAACUCCAGGCUCAACCUGGAGACGCCACCCGAUACUGCCAUGGCUAGAGUCCGGUAGGGGACCACGGAAUUCCUGGUGUAGCGGUGAAAUGCGCAGAUAUCAGGAGGAACACCGGUGGCGAAGGCGGUGGUCUGGGCCGGAACUGACGCUGAGGAGCGAAAGCGUGGGGAGCGAACAGG
rnacentral:rRNA from 1 species